GACCUCUCCGGCGGCCUAGUGGUUAGAGCGUCCGCCUAGGAUGCUAGAGGUCAUGGGUUCGAUCCCCGGCCGAGUCA